rnacentral:rRNA from 1 species
ACUCCUACGGGAGGCAGCAGUAGGGAAUCUUCCACAAUGGGCGCAAGCCUGAUGGAGCAACACCGCGUGAGUGAAGAAGGGUUUCGGCUCGUAAAGCUCUGUUGUUAAAGAAGAACACGUAUGAGAGUAACUGUUCAUACGUUGACGGUAUUUAACCAGAAAGUCACGGCUAACUACGUGCCAGCAGCCGCGGUAAUACGUAGGUGGCAAGCGUUAUCCGGAUUUAUUGGGCGUAAAAGAGAGUGCAAGGCGGUUUUCUAAAGUCUGAUGUGAAAGCCUUCGGCUUAACCGGAGAAGUGCAUCGGAAACUGGAUAACUUGAGUGCAGAAGAGGGUAGUGGAACUCCAUGUGUAGCGGUGGAAUGCGUAGAUAUAAUGGAAGAACACCAGUGGCGAAGGCGGCUACCUGGUCUGCAACUGACGCUGAGACUCGAAAGCAU